GUUGACUGGCAGCUAGCACCACUUUUAUUUUAAUUAAAAAAACCGAAUUGUUCAAAUUACUUCUAGGCUGUUGUCUUCGUUAAUUUCUUUAUUUAUGAGCACAUGUCGUAUUCCAAUAUAUUGCCACUUCCAGGAUUAAAGAUAACUUUAUUAUCCUCAAGGGGCACCACAAACCAUAAAAAAAAUAAGUACAUGGACUCGUUGGCCUACGAUCAACCAGAAUGGACUUGGCUUUCUUCAAAGUCCUAACUAUUUACAAAUUAAGAAGGUUUUCCAUGAUCGUGCCUGCAUAUUUGCUGAGCACUUUGAAACUAUCCUCCAAUUCAAGACCUCUCAAAUUGUAUAAUAUUUAAUCAGGGGGACCAGUAAUUUCUAGACAGUUCAACGCUUGCCUCGUUUCAAGGCGUUCUCGUCUCACGACGGGACGCCUGGAACGGGAUACCCAAAAUAAGCCUUAUUGGUGAGAAAGCGGGAGGGACUUCCAGUUAAAUGGGUUCAAAGCUUUUUAUAGCUGUGCAUGAGUUUAGCGGCGAGAAAGGGGGAGGGACUACCUCUGAAAUAUUGUGUAGCAUAUUGCUGUGUCGAUUCAUCUUAAAGCACCAUAUUUAUUACCCUUUUCGUUGUUAUUCGAGCUUUAUUUAUUUUUCUUGUGCCGGGGACAUUAAAUUGGCGUAGGCUACACAGGUCAUAGGAAAUAAGAGACCUGAAAUUACAUUAAAGUAGACCGGGGUACCGCUACAAUUCAGGAUCGUCUCAGCCUAGUUCAGCCCCGUUACCGACGCGACCUGUAGCUUUAAGAAGGCGUGUGUUGUUUACUGGGGUUGUAUCUACUUUGAACAGCCAGUAGUUGAGUGCGAUUGGAGUCGGAUUGCGUCGGAUGUUGUUCUGUUUAUCCGACCCUGAUGCAAAACACUCACAGUCGGAACAAUAGUCUGUUUUUUUUUGUCGUUCUUGUAUCACUGACCGGUUUUAUUCGAGCACCAGCAGUUCUCCCUGUAAAGCACCGCAUGCUGCCAGUGUGGAGAUCCCUCUCCUGCCCUGAGCCGACAACAUGGACCUGCACAUUCUGGACCACAGACUGCGGGUUACCAGCAUAUCCAAGGACGGCCUGGUCCAUUUCACGCACCCUCUGAUCAAAUUAAUAUUUCUCCGCAACAGAACACGAUGCAAGUUCUUCAGUUUGACCGAGACCCCGGAGAACUACACGGUGGUCCUGGAUGAGGAGGGCUUUAAAGAGCUCAAGCCUUCAGAGCACUUGCAGGUUGAGGGCUCUGUCUGGCUGCCACUCAACGUGGUCUCCAGCGGCAACGUCUCCAGCAGCUCUCAGGCAGUUGGCGUGACCAAGAUUGCCAAGUCAGUCAUCGCCCCAUUGGCUGAGCAGCAUGUGUCUGUCUUCAUGCUCUCCACCUAUCAGACAGACUUCAUAUUAGUGAAGGAGCAGGACCUAGCGGUGGUGGUGUCUACACUGGGGGAGGAGUUCAGUAUCUUCAGAGAGGUGGAGGGAGAAUCGGUCCCCGUGCAGGACGUUCACAACGGCCUUCACAAAAACGGCAAAGAAGCCAUCCAGCCUACAGUCCACCCAGUUCUCAUUCCUCAGAAUCACUUCUGUGUCAUGUCUCUGGACCCUGACACGCUUCCCUCAAUCGCCACCACCCUCAUCGACGUCCUGUUCUACUCCAACAGUCCUAAGGAAGGCACCUCAUCCACGGCUGGUGCCGAACUGGACUGCAUCAAAUUCUUCUCCUUCUCGCUCAUUGACGGCUACAUCUCACUGGUGAUGGACACCGAGGCUCAGAGGCAGUUCCCUGCUGACCUGCUCUUCACUAGCUCCUCGGGAGAACUCUGGAGGAUGGUUCGUAUCGGAGGUCAACCUCUGGGCUUCGACGAGUGUGGUAUCGUGGCCCAGAUCUCUCAGCCACUGGCAGACAGCGAUAUCUCUGCCUACUACAUUAGCACCUUCAGCUUUGAUCAUGCAUUGGUGCCUGAGGAGGACAUCGGGAGAGUGACAGAAAUGCUCCGUCAUCAGAGGAAGGAACCGGCCGCCAGCUGAGGGUAUCCCCCCCCUGUUCGGGCCGCUCCGGCCUCGUGUGUGUGUGUGUGUGUGUGUGUGUGUGUGUGUGUGUGUGUGUGUGUGUGUGUGUGUGUGUGUGUGUGUGUCAGCCACAGCUGGUUGCACGGUGGAGUAGCCCUGUUUCAAAGCACACACAGGUCCAAUCCAACCUGAGUUACCAGUGGGAGAAGAAGUGUGAACUAACGUGCACUAUUGUAGACUGUUGACCCUGUAGUGCGUCUAUGAUCUGAGGCUAAACUUGUAUCUUCAUGUUGUGUUGAACACUCCACACCUUUGCUAACACACAACUGAGUCUUCCAGAUUUUAUACGUUUUAAGACUGUGUCACGGUCUUUAUGUUUAAACUUAGUUAUUAGUUCUAUCAGGCAUUCAUUUUUUAAGUUUGACGGUAGGUCAUUAAUUAAUGCUGAAGAAAUAUGCAAUUAAAAGGUAAUUUCUUAACAUUUUCAGGGUUAUUCCAAGGUCCACCACACUGUCUUAUUUUGGUUUUGUUAUUUGCACAUUUAGAUCCUAGUUCUUGGUAGCUAGAUAGUUUUGUUUUCGUGUUAAAAUAACAUUUUGUACAAUCUGAAGCAGAACACAAGUAUUCCGUUAGCAUUUUCUAUUUUGUCAUGCUUCACUCAAUAAAGAAGUAUUGCGACAAUGGCGUUAUCAUUGGGUGUGUAUUUCUUCGGUCCUGUCACACUAUGCGGUUGCAUGCUGACCGCACGCUGCAACAACUUUCCAUAAAGAGAUUUCUGAGUAAACCUGCAAAUAGUUUGUUGAUACACUCAUGACAUUCCUGAGUUAAAAAAUAACUCAAUCACGCUGUAUAGAGUCUAUAACUGCCGGAUGUCAACUCAUCCAGUUUUGACCAGACUGAAAAUACAUUACAAAUGUUCAUAUCAUGAACAAUUUAAUACUACAGACAAACUUUUGGACGAUGUCUCAGUGUAAAACAUGUUAUCAUUACUGUUUGCUCUCAAGGGAGAUGCAACAAAAGGCCAGAUAGCCCUAAAAUUGGGCCCGCUCCACUAAGCAGCUAUCUUGGUUCCAUCUUGGUUCUAAACCCUACCAAGGCGGAGGAAAUUAAUGCAGAAUUCUGCAUUCCAAUGAAAGUGAAUGCUCUUUCCCUGCUGGUUUUAUAAUUGUUGUGAUUACUGACCUCUAGCUAAGACUGAUAUGUGAUUAUUUUGUAUUAUGUGUUUAACUACUGUUGACUCGUGCCACAACUCAUUGGGAAUUCAUAAAAAUAUUGGUAGUGUUUACCUUUGACCUUACUGGAAUUCUGAUAUUAUUUUCAGAGCUUGAAAUGAAGAAGUGGAUCUAAAAUGUGUUACUACUGUUUUCCUCAUAAUGGUGGUAAAUUCGAAUUUUUGCUGAGUCCGCUUUCGUGUUAAGAAGUUGAGCAUUCCGGAGGCGAUGAUGUAAUGCCUCCUUGACAGGGGUUGAGAUUGCGCUACAUGAUUUCAUCAUCUUCUACUCCAUUUGUUAUCAUUACAUUAUGAAAUUGCAAAUUCCUAUUGAAAUAAAGUUGACAUUUACAUUUGUAGAGAUACCUCCAGUAAUAGUAGCAACUCCUGGCCCUUGAAUCAGUCGGCUCUCUGACCCCACCUCAGUUAACACUACAGGUUGACACAUAUACCACGCGUCAUCAGACGGAAUUGUCUAUGCAUAAAAUUUCACACAUUUUGGUCAUCCCCGGUUUGUGCGUGUGAUGUGGUUAAUAAGAGGGAGGAGAUUAUCUGGUCUAUGGGUAUAUAUAUAUCACUGACCAAAGGGUUAUUGGACUUGAAAUACUGCUGGGUUCACUUGGAUUUUUCUAAACCAGACAAGAAGAGGGGAAGCUCGACAUGGACCAUCAACUCAGAAUCCAACACAAUCCAAUCCAUUAUGCAGUACUGCUUCUCCUGGCGGUCCAGUGGGGGCGUGUCCUCCCAAUGCCCAUUCUGAACCAGAGUGUGUGUAACGGCGCCUUACCUCUGACAGAGACCCUCCAGCACGAAGCCAGUCAGUUGCUGGACAACUAUGUGCUCAUCCAUCAGUUUCAGGCUGAUUCCAUCCCAGAAGGCGUUCCUGAUGCCAAGGUGAAUGGAAACAGCCCCGCUGAGAAACUGUACAGCAUCGCUGUGCAGGAAAUGCUGUUCUACCAGCACCUCAGGGUCGUAGAGGGAUACACCAUGGACUUCUGGGCCAACCCAGACCCCAACCUACAGGACACCUUCACAAUGGCAAUAAAUCGAUUGUCAAAACAUUACCAGAAGAUGGGGGAGCUUCUGAAUGCAGUUGACCCCAACUUUAAUUCUCCAACCAUGCCGGCUCCCCCGGACCUCAGCAUCGAGGGCGGCUAUGCCAAUAAACAUUAUGGCUGGGGGGUUUUAUCAAACCUAAAGGUCCUGUUAAACAAUGUGGAGCAAGAGCUCAAAAGUGUUUGUGGGGAAGAGUUACAAAACCUAUAAUCUGUCUAACCUUUAUUAUGUCUUAUAUAUUUAUAUAUUUAUUGAAUGUUUUUAUACUGAUUGAUAUUUAUUUGUUUAAUGGUGAUUCCAAACCCUUUUUCCUCACAGCCUAAAGUAGCCAUUGCCCAUGUUAAAUGUAUGUUUAUUUAUUGUACUUAUUUAUAAAUUCUGGUUAGGUGCCUGUUCUAUUCGUGCCUGUUUGGAACAUGCAACAAUUUGUAAACAUAUUUGUAUUUAUUUAUAGAUGUAUUUAUUAACUGUUUUCUUAGAGAAAGACAAGUGUAAAUUUUAAACUAUGAUUUUUUUCUAGAUAUUUGUAUUUAAAUAUUUAUUUAAUAUGACUGCCUAACAUGGCACCUAUUGGGAUUACGUAAGAGCCACUGUAUACACACACUGUUUAUAAGCCUAGGUGCUGUUUAUGUAAAGAGUAAAGAUUUUAUUUUUUAUUAAACUGUA